rnacentral:rRNA from 1 species
UACGUAGGGAGCAAGCGUUGUUCGGAUUUACUGGGCGUAAAGAGCGCGUAGGCGGCGCGGUAAGUCACUUGUGAAAUCUCUGAGCUUAACUCAGAACGGCCAAGUGAUACUGCAGUGCUAGAGUGCAGAAGGGGCAAUCGGAAUUCUUGGUGUAGCGGUGAAAUGCGUAGAUAUCAAGAGGAACACCUGAGGCGAAGGCGGGUUGCUAGGCUGACACUGACGCUGAUGCGCGAAAGCCAGGGGAGCAAACGGG